rnacentral:rRNA from 1 species
UACGGGGGGAGCAAGCGUUGUUCGGAUUUACUGGGCGUAAAGAGCUCGUAGGUGGUUUGUCGCGUUGUCCGUGAAAACUCACAACUCAAUUGUGGGCGUGCGGGCGAUACGGGCAGACUGGAGUACUGCAGGGGAGACUGGAAUUCCUGGUGUAGCGGUGGAAUGCGCAGAUAUCAGGAGGAACACCGGUGGCGAAGGCGGUUCUCUGGGCAUUACCUGACGCUGAGGAGCGAAAGUGUGGGGAGCGAACAGG